rfam:Anaerolinea sp. 4484_236 ex4484_236_scaffold_54266, whole genome shotgun sequence.
GGGCGGGUCCGGCGCGGCGGAGACCUGUGAACCGUGUCAGGUCCGAAAGGAAGCAGCACUAAAGAGGAUUCUCUGGGUGCCGCCGGGGUGCCUGCGGGUG